AAGACUAUACUUUCAGGGAUCAUUUCUAUAGUUUGUAACUAGAGAAUUGUGGUUGAAAGUGUCUGACCUUGCUAACCACGAUGAGAAGUUAAGUGUGUUCUUUUCUGAGCAUGAAGUGAGUGGACAGUGUUGCUUUAAUGCACCUGCUGUCUGCUAUUGAUGACUGUUCUUACUUUCCUUUUAGGAAGCUGAGAAGAAGAGAACACAGACUGAGUGGU